rnacentral:rRNA from 1 species
AGUGAACGCUGGCGGUAGGCCUAACACAUGCAAGUCGAACGGCAGCACAGUAAGAGCUUGCUCUUACGGGUGGCGAGUGGCGGACGGGUGAGGAAUACAUCGGAAUCUACUUUUUCGUGGGGGAUAACGUAGGGAAACUUACGCUAAUACCGCAUACGACCUACGGGUGAAAGCAGGGGAUCUUCGGACCUUGCGCGAUUGAAUGAGCCGAUGUCGGAUUAGCUAGUUGGCGGGGUAAAGGCCCACCAAGGCGACGAUCCGUAGCUGGUCUGAGAGGAUGGUAGGCCACACUGGAACUGAGACACGGUCCAGACUCCUACGGGAGGCAGCAGUGGGGAAUAUUGGACAAUGGUCGCAAGCCUGAUCCAGCCAUACCGCGUGGGUGAAGAAGGCCUUCGGGUUGUAAAGCCCUUUUGUUGGGAAAGAAAAGCAGCAGGUUAAUACCCCGCUGUUCUGACGGUACCCAAAGAAUAAGCACCGGCUAACUUCGUG